CGCCUACCUGUUUUCGAUGGUUCCUCAGGGCAGAAUGCUGAGAGGAUGAAAAAGGGAACACGGUGAGGUGUAGCCAACAGGCGCUGAAUCCGUGACUGCCCCCGCAACUGUAAGCGGAUAGCGACGCCAAGCACCCACUGGCCGUAAGGCUGGGAAGGAUGGCGCAGCCAAGACCCGCAAGUCAGGAGACCUGCCAUCGUGAAUUCAACCAA
rnacentral:ncRNA from 2 species